rnacentral:rRNA from 1 species
GAUGAACGCUAGCGGCAGGCUUAACACAUGCAAGUCGAGGGGUAUAGGAAGCUUGCUUCCUAGAGACCGGCGCACGGGUGCGUAACGCGUAUGCAACCUACCUUUUACAGAGGGAUAGCCCAGAGAAAUUUGGAUUAAUACCUCAUAGUAUAUGUUUUUCGCAUGUUAGACAUAUUAAAGUUCCAACGGUAAAAGAUGGGCAUGCGUCCUAUUAGCUAGAUGGUAAGGUAACGGCUUACCAUGGCAACGAUAGGUAGGGGUCCUGAGAGGGAGGUCCCCCACACUGGUACGAAGACACGGACCAGACUCCUACGGGGGGCAGCUGUGAGGAAUAUUGGACAAUGGGCGCAAGCCUGAUCCAGCCAUGCCGCGUGCAGGAAGAAGCAUCUAUGGUGUGUAAACUGCUUUUGUACGGGAAGAAACACUCCUACGUGUAGGAGCUUGACGGUACCGUAAGAAUAAGGAUCGGCUAACUCCGUGCCAGCCGCCGCUGUAAUAC